rnacentral:rRNA from 1 species
UUGCGCAUGGCCGAAAGGCUGACGCAGCGACGCCGCGUGAGGGAUGAAGUCCGUUAGGAUGUAAACCUCUUUUGCAGGGGAUGAAUGUUCCCGUUCACCGGGAAUUGACCGUACCCUGCGAAUAAGGAUCGGCCAACUACGUGCCAGCAGCCGCGGUAAUACGUAGGAUCCGAGCGUUGUCCGGAAUUACNUGGGUGUAAAGGGCGUGUAGGUGGAUUCCUAAGUCGGUGGUGAAAUCCUGCAGCUUAACUGCAGAAUUGCCUUCGAAANUGGGGAUCUUGAGUGCGGCAGAGGGAGAUGGAAUUCAUGGUGUAGCGGUGAAAUGUGUAGAUAUCAUGAAGAACACCGGUAGCGAAGGCGGUCUCCUGGUCCGCAACUGACACUGAUGCGCGAAAGCGUGGGGAGCAAACAGGAUUAGAUACCCUGGUAGUCCACGCCUUAAACGAUGGGUACUAGGUGCUGGGCCGCAAGGUUCAGUGCCAAAGCUAACGCAUUAAGUACCCCACCUGGGGAGUACGAUCGCAAGGUUGAAACUCAAAAGAAUUGACGGA